rnacentral:misc_RNA from 1 species
CAAGGAGGUUAUUGCUUUACUGGGCAACAACUCCAAUCCCAGUUCUCGGGUUGCUUGCAUCGCUUGCCCUACUCUCUAUGCCUAUAUUAAGAAAAUUAAACCGAAUGUUUCUGUGCAAUUGUUGGAAUAUGACAAAAGAUUUGGGCAAUAUGGAAGUGAUUACACGUUCUAUGAUUACAAUGAACCUGAAGAGUUACCUUCUGAGCUGAAGCAGGCUUUCCAAGUUGUAGUUGCUGAUCCUCCUUACCUGAGUAAGGAGUGUUUGGAAAAGGUUACUGAAACAAUUUCUUUUCUUGCAACACCUGGAAAAUCCCACUUGCUUCUUCUCACUGGGGAGGUGCAGAAAGAUAGGGCUGCUCUUAGGCUUGCAUCCAUGUGGUUUUAGGCCUCAACACUCCAGCAAGCUGGGGAACGAGUUUCGGCUAUUCACAAAUUAUGAUCCUGGGAUGAGAUUGGGAGGGUGGGAGCUGGAGAAAUAGAUUCCUGUUUUCUUGGAUACGAUUACUUAGAAAGUGAAAAUUCCAGAUUGAAAGUUUUACUCUGGAUUAGUUCAUCUUAUAGGAUAUAGUUCAGACCACAAAUUUGAUGUUGAGCUUUUGUCAUGGGAAGAAAGAUUAUGGAUGGAGUUUUUCCUUUUUCAGGAUGUAUUGAUGUGUUAUGAAUGUUUCAUUGUAGUGGUGCUGGUGCAUUUCACAUAUUUCCAUCUUCGUCUUUUUGCCCAUCAAGUGUCUCGAGUUACAUUUUUUUUUAAUUCGUCUUUCUGUUGUCAGCCAGAUUUGAUUUGUAAUGUUGGAGUUUUCAUUUAUUCGUCUUCCAUUUUCAGAAGCAAAUGUUAAUGCAGAAUGUCUCAUGCUUUUUCUUAAAAUAGAAUUUU